GCAGCCACCUCCCCGCGCGAGUGGACCACAAGUUUUUUCCCGAAAAAGGUGCCCGUCCAAAACUCCGAAGUCUCUCCUGCCUGUGCCCCCCGUUCCGUGUCCUUGCCCACCCGACUCCUCCCACCUUCUGUAACCCUAGCCGCCGGCCAUUGCAGGGCGCGCUGCCUCUAGGCAUUGGGAGGCCGCGGAGGACGACAACGUUGUUGUGGCCGGCCAUUAAACUGUACCAUUCAACGUUGUUGAGCUUCCCUCCCCUCCACCGCACCCCGAUCCUUACUUCCUUUCCCGGCGCCUGAUCAUACACCGCUACGCGCCUGCUCGCGUUCUGGAGCACUUUCGGUUUGCUUGGCCGUCCGGAUCUGGGCUCCCCCUCGGCGCCGGCGCGCAGAGUUCUCGCGGCGGAUCUCCUCCCCCCACUCGCGCUCAGGCUCGGUCCCUCAGCGCAGAUCUCCUUUUCCCCCACUCGCGCUCAGGCUCGGUCCCAGGGAUUCGAUCUUCCGCGCGUCGGCGGCGUCCAGCGACGGAGGGGCAGUCCCAGGCUCGGCGUCGGCGUCGGCGGCUCCCCCUCCCGCCUCGCACCCUCGCCUCCGUCCUCCGCGCACCGGCCCGUGCUCCUUUCUUUCCAGCGCCGCCCGCUGGCAUCUGAACCCCCACUGCGUGGUCUUAAUCACGUCACCGGCGUCUGCCUGGCCGGUGAGAGGCAGACAACGCUAACCAGGUCUUUGUCGGGCACUUCGCCGGUGACGUGCACCCACCAGAUCCCUCACCCUCGCCGCUCAGAUCCAGCAAGUGCAGGAGAAGGGAUGGAUGUCCUCUGAAGUGCAUGGUUGGACUCAUCGUCAGCAACAGGAAGGAGAUGAAGUCUAUUUCGUGUGGCCAUAGGCUUCUGGGGAGGACAGCCCCAACGACAUGGUGUUGCAGGUCAGGCCACUGCCAUCAUUCUUGUUGGAGCAUCUGCCUACUGAUCCGACAGAUGUGCUGAAUGACGUGGUGUUGAUGCUCUGAAGGAAUGGUGGUAGCUUUUCAUGCAACGUCGGGAGUAGAGAGGCACUCAACCUCAAUUUCGAAGAUGCAGUGGUGAGACAUAAUAACACUCUGCCAGCUAGUUGUUCGUUAAUUUGGUUUUGAGAAAGAUAAACUGGUAGCAGAGAUGAUAUGUUCCAUGUGUAUAUUUCUUUGGAGGAGUCCAUCAAAAGGAUCAUGUGAUUGAUUGUUUCUCAACUGAUAUCUGGAAGAUCUGAUAAAAUUGCAGAUCAAGCAAUGUUUUUUUUUCAACAUGUGAAAUACUUGCAAGUUAGAAGUCGAUUUUGUGCGGUCUACAGGCUUCUGAGGAGGACAACCCCAAUGGCAUGGUGUUGCAGGUCAGGCCGCUGUCAUCAUUGUUGUUGGAGCAUCUACCUGCUGAUCCGGCAGAUCUUCUGAACAGCAUGGUGUUGAUGCUCUGAAACAGUAGCUUCUCAAACAAUGGCAGGAGCAGAAAGGCGCUCAACCUCAACAUCGAAGGCCUGUUGGUUUCUUUUCUUGAUCAUGGUAAUUAUUUGCCUUAGUUUCAAUCUAUGUACUAUGUGCCUUAACUGGACUCAUGAAUGAAUGGCACUAACAGUUUGCUGCUCCUACUUUAUUUUUGCUUCGUCAGAUGCACUGGUGAGACACAACAACAAUCUGCUAGCUAGCUGUUCGUUAAUUUGGUUUUGAGAAAGAUAAACUUGCAGCAGAGAUGAUAUGUUCCAUGUGCAUUUUUCCUACGAAGAGUCCAUGAAAAGGAUCAUGUGAUUCAUUGUUUCCCAACUGAUAUCCGGAAGAUUUGAUGAAAUUGCACAUCAAGCAAUGGUUUUUUUUCUCAACAUGUGAAAUACUUGCAUGUUAGCAGCAGGGCUUGGGUUGGGAAAUAACAGUUUGGUUUGGAAAAUUACAUGAACAAUAGAUUUAUAGUAGCAAGUAAUAAAGACAAAUUGAAUGCAAACUGGGACAAAUGUUACUUACUGUAAAUGAUUUGACUAACCUAAAUACCUCUCAUUUACCAUUUGUGGUCGAGAAAAAAGAACCAGAAACAACCAAGUAUAUCGUGAUCGUGCUAAGGAGCGUUGUAACCCAGAUCAUGAACCUACAGAAAUUGGUUCAUUUCAUGCAGUGACACCUCCUGGGACUGAUUUGAGGCUAGCAGAUGCCCACAUGAUUUCAAUUCAGAACAUCAUUUUCUCCAACUGAAAUAAAAUAAGAAGAGGUAGAGAAUAUGACACUAUAUAUUGGAUAUUGGCUGGUGAGUUAGAACCUCAGAUGCUGCUUUUGAUAUUUUCAUCUUAUGAGCAGAUCUUUGAUUUUUUAGAUAAGUAUUAUUUGUGAAUAAAUUUAUUGUUCCUGUAAAUAUCUACAGUAGCAAACUCCAAGCCUCUGGUAUGCACUUUGCACUUGUUAUAAUAAUCACUCCCUACAGACAAACAUAAGUGGCAUUUGACAUGUACUAUAAGUCUCCUACACUAUUGUCCUAGACUCUGGUUUUCGCACAUUAGUGGAAAUGUAUGUCAUUGUUCCAUUGGGGAGAUAGGGUGGUUAUAAGGGAGUCCUGCAUACUUGAUUGGAGAAAUUGAUUGGAGUGUACUCUCUCUUAUGUGCUUCUGCAAGUUUACAUGUGAAAGAUUGUUGUGACGACUACUGUGUGAUUCUUAUUAACUUUUUUACCUUAGCAUUUGAGUGUGAUUUAUCAGUUUUCUACUAUUCUAAGAUGAAUGUUUCAAACCUUAUUAGGAUUAAACUGUUUCUGUACUCUGCUUUUGUAAUGUUUGUCUUUUGGUUAGUAAUGAUUCUAAUGAACAAUAAUCAAUUGUGCUCUAUGUGGAAUUAAAGUGAUAUUUACUUGACCAAAACAUGAAGGUUGGCUAACUUGGCUUGCCUUAUUUAGGGAAUUUGAUUAUGCAAAUAGUGUUCAGUACUGUCAUUAGACAUAUUUGUGCAGCAGUAGUAUACAGAUUGGUCGCACGAGCUAUAGCAUGAAAGGCGGAUGACAAAGAGAAGCAAUCUUAUUCAAUGGCCUGUGCAAAACGAUGAUGCUCUAUUGUGAUUGCUCUUCAAUUUUUUUCAAAGUUAGCAAGCAGUUGGGAUGUGCGGUGGCGACCUCGCUCAAGUAGCUCUAGCCCGACGUUCGACUGAGAUGAUAGGAGGAAUCUCCGAUCCUCAGCUGACUCCCUUCUCUCCGUGAGUCGCCUCUUGGUUGGAGAUCAAGUUGCACCUGCCCGACUUCACUAGAUCUUAGGGUUUCAUAUAAUAUUGUUUUUAUAUACGAUUUGUGCCUUUUUAGCUGUUGUGGUUGUUGCUGCAGACUGGUGAGAUAGUUUGGUGGUAGUUCGGACUAAUUUAGCUUUUGCUUCAAUGUGUUUUCAACUAAAUUUGAGACCCAGUUGGCCAGUUCACUUAGCCGUGUUUGGAAGUUAAUAAAUAGAAAAGGAAGACCUGGAUUCUCAUUUGAGA